UUCCUUUUCAGCUGUCUUGGAGACCAUCUCGCUAAAACUUAACAAAGGCCAUCAUGUCUGGAGUAAAGGGACAGCAAAAGAAAUGCCCUGAGCCUUGCCCACCACAGCCAUGCCCUCCACCACCACAGCAGUGCCAGGAUCCUUGCAAACAAGAGCCAAAGUGUCCUGAACCUGUUCAGAAAUGCCCUCCUCCUCAAGAACAAUGCAAACCACAGUGCCCACAAGACCAGCAGAAAUGAGCAGAAAAUGUUCCCACCUUAACACCUGGCAAAUACUUCUGUCAAUUUGAUGCAUUUAAGGAACUUUGAUAGAUCAAUAUGGUUUAAAUAUUGUUAUCAUCUAAAUAAAACAAAUGAUGGAAUAUUUAUUAGCUUUAUCUUCAUGACUGUUUAAUAAAGUCUUCAGAUAUGUAAAAUGCGAUGUGAUAUUCAAAAAUAUAAAUAAAAUCUGUUAUCUUAAA